rnacentral:rRNA from 1 species
GAUGAUCAGGUUGAUAGGUCUGAGGUGGAAGCGUGGUGACACGUGGAGCUGACAGAUACUAAUAGAUCGAGGACUUAACCACAUUU